rnacentral:rRNA from 1 species
UACGGGGGGAGCAAGCGUUGUUCGGAUUUACUGGGCGUAAAGGGCGCGUAGGCGGCCUCUGCAAGUCGACUGUGAAAUCUCCGGGCUUAACCCGGAAAGGUCAGCCGAUACUGCAGGGCUAGAGUGCAGAAGGGGCAACUGGAAUUCUCGGUGUAGCGGUGAAAUGCGUAGAUAUCGAGAGGAACACCUGCGGCGAAGGCGGGUUGCUGGGCUGACACUGACGCUGAGGCGCGAAGGCUAGGGGAGCGAACGGG